rnacentral:rRNA from 1 species
GUGCCAGCCGCCGCGGUAAUACGGAGGGUGCAAGCGUUAUUCGGAAACACUGGGCGUAAAGCGCGCGUAGGCGGCAGCGCAAGUCAGAUGUGAAAGCCCUCGGCUAAACCGGGGAAUUGCAUCUGAAACUGCGUAGCUAGAGUUCGGGAGAGGGCGGCGGAACUCCCGGUGUAGGGGUGAAAUCCGUAGAUAUCGGGAGGAACACCAGGGGCGAAGGCGGCCGCCUGGACCGAAACUGACGCUGAGGCGCGAAAGCGUGGGUAGCAAACAGGAUUAGAAACCCGAGUAGUCC